GACGAACUCUGGCGGCGUGCUUAACACAUGCAAGUCGAACGGAAAGGCCCUGCUUUUGUGGGGUGCUCGAGUGGCGAACGGGUGAGUAACACGUGAGUAACCUGCCCUUGACUUUGGGAUAACUUCAGGAAACUGGGGCUAAUACCGGAUAGGAGCUCCUGCUGCAUGGUGGGGGUUGGAAAGUUUCGGCGGUUGGGGAUGGACUCGCGGCUUAUCAGCUUGUUGGUGGGGUAGUGGCCUACCAAGGCUUUGACGGGUAGCCGGCCUGAGAGGGUGACCGGCCACAUUGGGACUGAGAUACGGCCCAGACUCCUACGGGAGGCAGCAGUGGGGAAUAUUGCACAAUGGGCGGAAGCCUGAUGCAGCAACGCCGCGUGCGGGAUGACGGCCUUCGGGUUGUAAACCGCUUUCGCCUGUGACGAAGCGUGAGUGACGGUAAUGGGUAAAGAAGCACCGGCUAACUACGUGCCAGCAGCCGCGGUGAUACGUAGGGUGCGAGCGUUGUCCGGAUUUAUUGGGCGUAAAGGGCUCGUAGGUGGUUGAUCGCGUCGGAAGUGUAAUCUUGGGGCUUAACCCUGAGCGUGCUUUCGAUACGGGUUGACUUGAGGAAGGUAGGGGAGAAUGGAAUUCCUGGUGGAGCGGUGGAAUGCGCAGAUAUCAGGAGGAACACCAGUGGCGAAGGCGGUUCUCUGGGCCUUUCCUGACGCUGAGGAGCGAAAGCGUGGGGAGCGAACAGGCUUAGAUACUCUGGUAGUCCACGCUGUAAACGGUGGGUACUAGGUGUGGGGUCCAUUCUACGGGUUCCGUGCCGUAGCUAACGCUUUAAGUACCCCGCCUGGGGAGUACGGCCGCAAGGCUAAAACUCAAAGGAAUUGACGGGGCCCCGCACAAGCGGCGGAGCAUGCGGAUUAAUUCGAUGCAACGCGUAGAACCUUACCUGGGUUUGACAUGGAUCGGGAGUGCUCAGAGAUGGGUGUGCCUCUUUUGGGGUCGGUUCACAGGUGGUGCAUGGCUGUCGUCAGCUCGUGUCGUGAGAUGUUGGGUUAAGUCCCGCAACGAGCGCAACCCUUGUUCACUGUUGCCAGCACGUUAUGGUGGGGACUCAGUGGAGACCGCCGGGGUCAACUCGGAGGAAGGUGGGGAUGACGUCAAGUCAUCAUGCCCCUUAUGUCCAGGGCUUCACGCAUGCUACAAUGGCUGGUACAGAGAGUGGCGAGCCUGUGAGGGUGAGCGAAUCUCGGAAAGCCGGUCUCAGUUCGGAUUGGGGUCUGCAACUCGACCUCAUGAAGUCGGAGUCGCUAGUAAUCGCAGAUCAGCAACGCUGCGGUGAAUACGUUCCCGGGGCU
rnacentral:rRNA from 1 species